CGGGUGAGUAACGCGUGAGUAGCCUGCCCUGGAGUGGGGGACAACAGUUGGAAACGACUGCUAAUACCGCAUAAGCCCACGGAUCCGCAUGGAUCUGCGGGAAAAGGAUUUAUUCGCUUCAGGAUGGACUCGCGUCCAAUUAGCUAGUUGGUGAGGUAACGGCCCACCAAGGCGACGAUUGGUAGCCGGACUGAGAGGUUGAACGGCCACAUUGGGACUGAGACACGGCCCAG
rnacentral:rRNA from 1 species